GACGAACGCUGGUGGCGUGCUUAACACAUGCAAGUCGAACGGAAAGGCCCUGCUUUUGUGGGGUGCUCGAGUGGCGAACGGGUGAGUAACACGUGAGUAACCUGCCCUUGACUUUGGGAUAACUUCAGGAAACUGGGGCUAAUACCGGAUAGGAGCUCCUGCUGCAUGGUGGGGGUUGGAAAGUUUCGGCGGUUGGGGAUGGACUCGCGGCUUAUCAGCUUGUUGGUGGGGUAGUGGCUUACCAAGGCUUUGACGGGUAGCCGGCCUGAGAGGGUGACCGGCCACAUUGGGACCGAGAUACGGCCCAGACUCCUACGGGAGGCAGCAGUGGGGAAUAUUGCACAAUGGGCGGAAGCCUGAUGCAGCAACGCCGCGUGCGGGAUGACGGCCUUCGGGUUGUAAACCGCUUUCGCCUGUGACGAAGCGUGAGUGACGGUAAUGGGUAAAGAAGCACCGGCUAACUACGUG
rnacentral:rRNA from 1 species